rnacentral:lncRNA from 1 species
AUAUAUAUGCAUGGAAUCUUACAGGAAAAUGAUCUAGCAAAUUGAUUGAUUUAGUUGCAAGAAUGUUUUUGAUGAAUCCCUCGCUAGAUUUCAUAGUUGAAGAACUAUCAUGUUGUGAAUGUAGGACAUUCAAAUGUUCAAAAUAAGAAAAGAUUUACUUAGUUGAUCUUGUCAAUUUAGUAGCACACCCUUUUUAACACCUUUUGUAUUGACCUUUUGAUAUAAUACACACAAAGAUGUCUUAUUUGUAUAUGCAAUUUCGCGCAAUUUAUUAUUGAUAUUAGCCUUACCAGCAAUGUCAACCUAUUUAAAGCGCCUAAUGAUAACAUUACUCUUGUUAGACUAACUUUGAUGAACAAUCAUAACUUGCAAUAUUUGAAAAGCAUAAUCUAGUUCAUAUCACAUGUACUGAUUGUCAAGGUAUGCUACACAUGAUGGAGUUUCUUUUUUAUGUUGUAAAAACUAACAUCGGUUGGCUUGUAGAUUGAGGUGGGAACAAUGAAGGAGUGAAGCCAUUCAUAUCACAUGUACUGAUUGUCAAGGUAUGCUACAGAUGAUGGAGUUUCUUUUUUAUGUUGUAAAAACUAACAUCGGUUGGCUUGUAGAUUGAGGUGGAAACAAUGAAGGAGUGAAGCCAAGGAAGAACUCAAAGAAUUCUCAUGGAGAUUGGAGUGUCGUGAGUUGUUUUAGAGAAUGAUAAGUGAGGUUUAAUCACUUGGACAGGAAGAGAAGAUCAACAAAG